rnacentral:rRNA from 1 species
CCUACGGGAGGCAGCAGUGAGGAAUAUUGGUCAAUGGGCGCAAGCCUGAACCAGCCAAGUCGCGUGAGGGAAGACGGCCCUACGGGUUGUAAACCUCUUUUGCCGGGGAGCAAGCCUGAGCACGUGUGCCUAGGCGGAGUGUACCCGGACAAAAAGCAUCCGCUAACUCCGUGCCAGCAGCCGCGGUAAUACGGAGGAUGCGAGCGUUACCCGGAUUUAUUGGGUUUAAAGGGUGCGCAGGCGGGCUGUUAAGCCGGCGGUAAAAAUUCAGGGCUCAACCCUGUCGAGCCGUCGGAACUGGCAGCCUUGAGUGGGCGAGAAGUAUGCGGAAUGCGUGGUGUAGCGGUGAAAUGCAUAGAUAUCACGCAGAACGCCGAUUGCGAAGGCAGCAUACCGGCGCCCGACUGACGCUGAGGCACGAAAGCGUGGGGAUCGAACAGGAUUAGAUACCCGUGUAGUC